rnacentral:rRNA from 1 species
UACGUAGGGUGCAAGCGUUGUCCGGAAUUAUUGGGCGUAAAGAGCUCGUAGGCGGUUUGUCGCGUCGGAUGUGAAAACCCGGGGCUCAACCCCGGGCCUGCAUUCGAUACGGGCAGACUAGAGUUCGGUAGGGGAGUCUGGAAUUCCUGGUGUAGCGGUGAAAUGCGCAGAUAUCAGGAGGAACACCGGUGGCGAAGGCGGGACUCUGGGUCGAUACUGACGCUGAGGAGCGAAAGCGUGGGGAGCAAACAGG